UACAGAGGGUGCGAGCGUUGUCCGGAAUCACUGGGCGUAAAGGGCGCGUAGGUGGCGAGCCAAGUCCAUGGUGAAAGCUCGAUGCUCAACAUCGAGUCGGCCACGGAUACUGGUGCGCUUGAGCACUGUAGAGGCUAAUGGAAUUCCGGGUGUAGCGGUGGAAUGCGUAGAGAUCCGGAAGAACACCGGUGGCGAAGGCAGCUCGCUGGGACGGUACUGACGCUGAGGCGCGAAAGCGUGGGGAGCAAACAGG
rnacentral:rRNA from 1 species